CCUGAACGCUGGCGGCGUGGUUAAGACAUGCAAGUCGCACGGGAGCAGCAAUGCUCUAGUGGCGCAAGGGUGAGUAAUGUAUCGCUAACGUACCCCGGAAUCUGGGAUAGCUGCCCGAAAGGGCAGGUAAUACCAGAUGAUAUAUCCUGGCCGCAUGGUUGGGAUCUCAAAGGAGCAAUUCGAUCUGGGCGCGGGCGAUAUCGUAUCAGCUAGUUGGUGAGGUAACGGCUCACCAAGGCGACGACGCGUAGCCGGACUGAGAGGUCGGUCGGCCACAUCGGGACUGAGACACUGCCCGGACUCCUACGGGGGGCUGCAGUAACGAAUCUUCCCCAAUGGGCGCAAGCCUGAGGGAGCGACGCCGCGUGGAGGACGAAGUCCUUCGGGAUGUAAACUCCUGUCAGGGGUUACCAAGUACUGAGGAGCCCCAAAGGAAGAGGCGGCUAACUCUGUGCCAGCAGCCGCGGUAAGACAGAGGCCUCGAGCGUUAGGCGGAAUCACUGGGCUUAAAGCGUGUGUAGGCGGAUCGUUAAGUGCCUUGUGAAAUCCCACGGCUUAACUGUGGAACGGCUGGGCAUACUGGCGGUCUUGAGCCAUCUAGGGGCGACUGGAACAAACGGUGGAGCGGUGAAAUGCGUAGAUAUCGUUUGGAACGCUAAUGGUGAAAACAGGUCGCUGGGGAUGCGCUGACGCUGAGACACGAAAGCCAGGGGAGCAAACGGGAUUAGAUACCCCGGUAGUCCUGGCCCUAAACGAUGUCCACUAGAUCAUGGUUCCUCUGACGGAUUCAUGGUCGAAGCAAAAGUGCUAAGUGGACCGCCUGGGAAGUACGGUCGCAAGGCUA
rnacentral:rRNA from 1 species